CCAAGACACCUCCCGGCCAGUCACUGCCCACCCUGCCCAAACCACAGCUGACCUUGACCUCCGGACAACUCUGAGGCUGUUUGCACACCUGGCCAUUUAUUGUGAAGGAUGAAGCGCUAAGCAGUGUCCCAUUGUAACAGGUCUGUAGGCAGACUGGGGCCUGCACAUCAGUCCUUGGGGAAGUCACUUUUCAUUUGUUAGAGCCAAUGUUUGCGUGAAGACUUAGUCCCAGGUUUCACAGAAUGAAUAUAGUUUUAUACCCUGAGAAAAAGACACGAGGCUCUGUAAGGUAUUGGAAGAAGGUUUUCUCUGUGCACAGCACAGUUCUGACAGCCGGAAACCAGGAAGAAACAUGGAAAGAAUCUGAACAGCAUGACACUGAUGAUAAAACUGAAGUGCAGAGAGUUGAAGCAACUUGCCAGCCACACAGCUGGUGCUGGGGGGCCACGGACCCAGCCCCUCACCCUGGGUCAGUGGCAUGUAUGGCUCACUUCCUGUAUGAUGACUGUGUCCUGGUUAGGAG
ensembl:lncRNA